CAGCGCAGGGAAUGUGUUAGAUGGAGGGUCAGACCGCCAGAGAAAGGGUCAGGCCUGGCCAGGCCCGGGGCAGGGAGUCAGGGCAGGGGCCGGUAGGGACGCGAACCAAGCAGCAGUGAGCUACCCCUCCUGGCGCAGGAGGGAAGCUUCCCACCUCCCCAACUCAUGUCCAGGCUCUGCCUCUCAUUAGUAGUUCUAGCUGGUAACAAGUUCUAGAAAGAAAUGUCUUAUCUCCUUUAGAAAAGUAUCUUAAUCCACUUUCCAGGCUGGGCGUGGAGGGAGAAUCGCCCUGUGGGAGGGUAGAUAGAUCCCACGCCUCGGCUCUGUCCUCCCCGUCGAGUCCUCUCCACAGCUCACUUUGGAGUCACCCAUGUUUCUUUAAAGCUCUAACUUGUUUGGCUUGAAAUCAGCCUCCCUGAAACCUGAGCUCAGUUCCUGUUUCCUGUUGUGCCUGCCUCUGUGUGUGCAUACACGUGCAAGUGUGCAUUUCUCGGUGUUUCUGGGUGGGGCUGGCUUUUAGUAGGUCUUACUAAGUCUCUGUGGCACUGUGACUCUGGCCAACCACAUCUCUGCCCCUUUCUGUGUUUCUGUCACUGCCUGGCUCUUUGUGUCUGGAUCUUUCUCUGUGUGCCAUCUGGUGUACCUCAGCCCAUCUCUGCGUGUACCUAGGAGUGACUCUCCUGCCAGCCCACUCCCGCUCGUCUUAACCCCGGGCAUGCCUCCUCCUUAAUUCCUGGGAAUGGUUAUGACCAAGCAUUAGAAGACCCAGAAACUUUUAAUGGGGUCAGCUGUGGAAGAUGCUGGUGGAGCACACACACAAAAGUUGUGUUCUCCAAGGAGAGGAAGGUCCCCAGAAGUGGUGUAGACAUCCUCAACGUGUGCGCCUCGGAGCCUUCGCCCGGCCUUUCCAGCCUCCGGCCUCCUCCAGACUUCCCUACCUGGGACUGCCAUGCUGCUUCCCUGCGUGCUCUGCCCUGGCACUCGGCUUUCACCCCGGGAGGGGCCGGACCCCGGGGCCUGGCACUUACUCCCAGGGGCCCGGAAGAGUACUGUCAGAGGCUUGCCAGGAGCCCUGACUCUUCUCUCCCCGCCACCCAUGACAUCUGGCUAUGCUUCCACCCAGCCUGGACCUAAAAUCUCCAUUUAUUAAAUUGAUUAUUAUUUCCCUUUUUAGAAUUCCCCGAUGCCCCCGCAGACUAUUACCUAUCCCCUUAUGAAACACUCUCACGGCCCCCCAGGACCUUGACACGUCACACUUAUGAUCAACUGCUUUUUUGUAUAAUCAUGUGUGUAAGGCCAUCUUGCCCACCAGACAGGACACACUGGGAAGGCAGGGACCGGGUCUGUCUAGGCUGCUGCCGGUCCCCAGAGCCUGGCACAGUGCCUGGCUUCUGGUAGGGGCGCAGUGGACAUCUACUGAGUGAAUAAAUACUAUUUAUUGAGUACUUAACAGUGCCAGACACUGUGGUAAGUGCUGUACACAUAUUAACGUUCAUUCUCUGUCAUGUUUUGGUCUCCCUUUUCACUUUAUUUACUUUUGGGCAUUUCAAGGGCUUUUAGCUGAUUUGGCACAAGCUCUUUUGACAAAGUUCAAGCAGAGAAGCACAUUUCCAGUUACUCAUCAGAAAGUGAGGACACUUAGAGAAAGUCAGUUACUCACAGAACAAGGAAAAACACUUCCUUGUAAUUAGGGCAAAGAGAAUUGCAGCUUGUAACGCUGCUUCUCGAUUUCAUUUUUCUGCUCUCUGAGGGAGGUGGAAGAAGCUGGGGGCUAAGGUGAGGGGGCCGGGGGGUACCUGAAGAAGAUCCUUUCUCAUCUCUGGAAAACAAGAACUAGAUCCUCACCUUACACCAUAAAACUUGAUGUGUGUGUGUGUGUGUGUUUUCAGAUUUAUUUAUUUGAGAAAGAGAGAGAGAGAAGGGGAAGGGCAGAAGGAGAGUCUUAAGCAGACUUCGCACUGGGCAUGGAGCCCAACAUGAGGCUCAGUCACAAGACCCUGAGAUCAUGACCUGAGCUGAAACCAAGAGUUGGUUGCUCAACCAACUGCGCCACCCAGGUGCCCCCAAACUGAUGGUUUUAAGAGAUAAAUAAUAAGGGGUUAAAAUAAAGCUGGAUGUUUCUUAUAUCCUUUGUCCCAUAUAUUUCAUCCCUGGGAAAAUAAUUGGAGAUGUAGACAAAGCCUUUGCCCAAAGAUCUUCAUUGCAAUGCUAUCUAUACCACUGAAAUAUUGAAAUACAAAUAUAUAUUUAUGAAUGGAAAAAAAUACAAAAUUUAAAAGUUGAAAAGACAGAUGAAAUAAAGUAUUGUUUGACUCUUAGUUAUUGAAAUCAUAGUCCUGAAGAGUUCAUUAUUCUAUAAUCAUGGCAUUCAGUGAAAAGCGCAUCAUACAAACAGGCUUACAUGGAACUGUUUUCAAUUAUGUCAACAGAGUACUCAGAGGGCGCCUGGGUGGCUCAGUUGGUUAAGCGACUGCCUUCGGCUCAGGUCAUGAUCCUGGAGUCCUGGGAUCGAGUCCCGCAUCGGGCUCCCUGCUCGGCGGGGGGGUCUGCUUCUCCCUCUGCCCUCUUCCCUCUCGUGCUCUCUGUCUCUCAUUCUCUCUCUCUCAAAUAAAUAAAUAAAAAUCUUAAAAAAAAAAAAAAAACAA